rnacentral:rRNA from 1 species
AUUGAACGCUGGCGGAAUGCUUUACACAUGAAAGUCGAACGGCAGCACGGACUUCGGUCUGGUGGCGAGUGGCGAACGGGUGAGUAAUGUAUCGGAACGUGCCCAGUCGUGGGGGAUAACGUAGUGAAAAUUACGCUAAUACCGCAUACGAUCUAUGGAGGAAAGCGGGGGAUCGCAACACCUUGACAGAUUGGAGCGGCCGAUAUCAGAUUAGGUAGUUGGUGGGGUAAAGGCCCACCAAGCCAACGAUCUGUAGCUGGUCUGAGAGGACGACCAGCCACACUGGAACUGAGACACGGUCCAGACUCCUACGGGAGGCAGCAGUGGGGAAUUUUGGACAAUGGGCGAAAGCCUGAUCCAGCCAUUCCGCGUGCAGGAUGAAGGCCCUCGGGUUGUAAACUGCUUUUGUACAGAACGAAAAGGUUUCUACUAAUACUAGGAGCUCAUGACGGUACUGUAAGAAUAAGCACCGGCUAACUACGUGCCAGCCGCCGCGGUAA